UCGGAUAUGGUGUAACGGCUAACAUUGCCGCCUCUCAUACAUAUAGUGCUCACGCGGCAGCUCGGGGUUCGAUUCCCCGUAUCCGAA